rnacentral:rRNA from 1 species
UACGAGGGGGGCAAGCGUUGUUCGGAAUUAUUGGGCGUAAAGAGCUCGUAGGCGGUCUGUUGCGUCGGCUGUGAAAACCCGGGGCUCAACCCCGGGCCUGCAGCCGAUACGGGCAGACUAGAGUUCGGCAGGGGAGACUGGAAUUCCUGGUGUAGCGGUGAAAUGCGCAGAUAUCAGGAGGAACACCGGUGGCGAAGGCGGGUCUCUGGGCAGUAACUGACGCUGAGGAGCGAAAGCGUGGGGAGCGAACAGG